UUCUUGGGUUAAAGCCCUAGGUUCUCCCAUGGCUGAAGUUCACUUUAUAAGGGACUUCUAAACCCACUCUUCCUCUAAGUGCCUCAGGGUCUCCAGAGCUUUCCAAAACCUAGUUCACUCAAAGGUUCUGGCUUCAAUGGCCUUUGUUAUGUAAAUUCAAGAAAAAAGAAAACUAAAAUUUACUAUUGUAAUUGAAAACAAAAACAGUUCACUGUUUACAUUUCAGUUGGUGCCCUAAAGAAAGAUCCUAUGAUAUAGCACUUGUAGAGUGGGCCUUGCACCUCUCCUGGGCUGCACAAUAGAGCUGCCCCUGGGGAGAGAUGGGGUAAGCAGCCCAGAAGGUGAGUGCUGAAGAGCAGACCCUGAGCCUUGGCAGCUGCCUCAUUGGGACAAUAAGGAUUACAGGGUGAAAUCUUCUGUCCAAACUAAACAAAACCAAUUACAAACAAAAGAUCUGAUGAAAACUGAAGAAUGAGCAGACUGUAGAAAAUGUCCCUCGGGGAUCUGAAUUAGACCCACCUUCCCAUCCCCUUAUGUGUAGAAGCAGAAAGCCACCAAGACUGAGUGUCACUUACUCAUCUGUCAAAGCUACGUCAUGAGUGCAAUGUACCUACCCAUGGUGUGAGAAAUGCAGGAGACAGAGACAGGGACACCAGGCCUGGCCUUCAACAGCCAAAAAUCCCCGUGUGCAAACUCAGCCAGCUCAGCCCAGACAAGAAGUACGGAAUCCGAGCAUCCUCUGCAAAAGCAGCAGCUCCCCAGGGCCCCAAGCAGCCCAGCAGCCAGCCCUAUACCCAGUUCUCUUUAUCACUGUUUAUAUCUCUCCAAACAAACUCAAAGCCGUUUAUAAGAAAGCACUCCUGAGGAGUAUAAAGUGAAGAAGGAAGCCUUGGUGAAGGAAAGGGGAAGAAAGCAGACAGAACCUGAGAGCUGGCAACCACUGCAGUGACCGAGUCCCAACCAGGCCCUGAGCUUCCUCAAAGCCAAAGUGAAAAGAGAUACAGGAUGAGAAGAAAGAGCAAGCUCUGCUCUAUGGCCUGCACAUCACCUGGCCAUCGUGGAAGAUGGAAUUGAAUCUGCUUUGGGUGGGCAUGGCUGCAGUCCUCGAGUCCUGGCAGAUAGGCCCCUUAAUUCACUCCACCCACUGAGAACUCAGCAUCUUUUCAUCCAAGUGCCUGCACCUGCUUCCAGGUCUUGAGCAGCACAAAGACAUCAGUGACGAGUCUUUGGUGUCCCUCCUUCACACCAUGAAUGGGCCACAGGUUCUGCUGACUGCAGCUCCCCCCACAGCCCCCACCACAGUUAAGUUGAACGAACUUCCAAGUG